rnacentral:rRNA from 1 species
AACGUAGGGUGCAAGCGUUGUCCGGAAUUACUGGGUGUAAAGGGAGCGCAGGCGGACUGUCAAGUUGGGAGUGAAAACUACGGGCUCAACCCGUAACUUGCUUUCAAAACUGGCGGUCUUGAGUGGUGUAGAGGUAGGCGGAAUUCCCGGUGUAGCGGUGGAAUGCGUAGAUAUCACGCAGAACUCCGAUUGCGAAGGCAGCAUACCGGCGCCCGACUGACGCUGAAGCACGAAAGCGUGGGUAUCGAACAGG